rnacentral:lncRNA from 1 species
ACAUACCUACAUAUCGUUGGGUGCGUAGUGUAAUUUUUAAUAUGAGACAAAAGUUUUGAGUUUUCCUACUCUAUGGAGGAAGUGUUGACCAGCAGUGCACGCGCAAGCGACCUACAUACUCCAAUCUGGCAUUCUUAUUGGUAUUACAAACACUUUCACGUACAGGCAUACAUACAUAUGUUCCUAUUAAUGUAUCUCCUUCCAUUCAACGGAUUCAUACUGACAAAAAGGAAAAAAAUCAGUCACCGACGAUAUUCUUCAUGGCGCUUACUUAACACUGACAGCCCUUGAAGCGAUUCGAUGACUGCCGUACACGUGCUACAUAUAUAUGGAUAAAACCCAUAUGCGCUCUAAAAAUCCUCUGGAUAUUACUUUUCCAUUCAAUCGAAUGCAGCCAGGCGUUGGAAGAGUUGACGUAAUCAACCGAUGAGGCGAAUUACUCGGAAAGUUAAUAAGCGGCAAUGAACGAACAAAUAAUCAACGUAAAAGUUCUUCGAUGAGUUGUAUAAAGCUGAAUUCUGUCGAGAAGAACAGCGAUGAGUGGAUGAAAGCGAGAACACUUUGAAGGUGAUGACUGGCGAGUAACUUAUGGGGAACGAGGAAUGACUGGCUAUAAGUAUGAAAACAAAAGCAAAAAUACAAACAAUUCGAUAAAAACCCCACGAUUGACGCAGUUUAAUAAGAAUUUACAACAACGCCAGCCACAAGAACAAAAAUAAAUAAAAUUGCAUCAGUAAAACGCUAAUAUUGUCGGCAAUGACAACAUCGCAAAAUAAAUAAAUAUACAUACUUACACGAUAUGUCCAUACGUAAACAUGUAUAUAUGUAUCAAUACACAAAUGUAUAUAGCUAGUAUAUAGUGUACAAUGCUAGUACCGAUACUACAUACUUAUGUAUAAAUGAGAGAAAAGUCGACAGGUUAAGGAAUGCUAUACAAAAAUCGAGAGACGCGACUUUUUCGUCGUAUGGCUUUAUUUAUAUUGCAAGACCGAGACUAUUGAAAUUCACUGAUUGAGCGAUCGGGAAGAUUGUGUAAGGUCUGCUAUACAUAUUCUUAUAUUUGGUCACUCGAAGAGGUAUUUUUCCUCGGAGAAGAGAUUCAAAGUACCUCCCCUCAAUCUCGGCAGAGAAAAAGUGGGUACUUUUGUUUUCCUGGCC